rnacentral:rRNA from 1 species
CGCUGGCGGCGUGCUUAACACAUGCAAGUCGACGACGCUACUAUGUAGCAAUAUGUAGUAGUGGAGUGGCGUAAGGGUGAGUAAAAUAUACGUAACCUGCCCAUAGGAGACGGAUAACACUACGAAAGUGGUGCUAAAACGGCAUGAUGCCUAUUGACCGCAUGGUUGAUGGGUUAAGGAGUCGGUAACAGACUGCCUAUGGAGGGGCGUGUAUCCGAUUAGCUAGUUGGUAGGGUAACGGCCUACCAAGGCGACGAUCGGUAGCUGGUCUGAGAGGAUGAUCAGCCACACUGGCACUGAGACACGGGCCAGA